rnacentral:rRNA from 1 species
AGCAGCCGCGGUAAUUCCAGCUCCAAUAGCGUAUAUUAAAGUUGUUGCAGUUAAAAAGCUCGUAGUUGAAUUUCGGGGUUAGCAAGUUGGUCGUGCCUUCGGUAUGCACUGGCUUUGCUGAUUCCUCCUUCUUGAAGAACUGUGAUGCUAUUAAUUUGGUGUUGCAGGGAAACAGGACUGUUACUUUGAAAAAUUAGAGUGUUUAAAGCAGGCUAACGCCUGAAUACAUUAGCAUGGAAUAAUGAAAUAGGACGUUUGAUCCUAUCUUGUUGGUUUCUAGGAUUGACGUAAUGAUUAAUAGGGAUAGUUGGGGGCAUUAGUAUUCAAUUGUCAGAGGUGAAAUUCUUGGAUUUAUUGAAGACUAACUACUGCGAAAGCAUUUGCCAAGGAUGUUUUCAUUA